AACAUUCUGACACUUGUGUGUUAUGACGCCACAGGGAAUAUGUCUGGACCAGGGCAUGAUUCAACCCCCCCACCUUACUCUUUCACCACCAUCAGCCCACCGGCCUCAGAUUUGCCAGUGAUGUUGAUUGUGUGUGUGAUUCUGGCUGUCGUCGUGGUGAUUGUCUUUCUGGGUAUCUACUAUGCCUUCCAGCGCCGCAGGUAAAACCUUC